UACGGAGGGUGCGAGCGUUGUCCGGAAUCACUGGGCGUAAAGGGCGCGUAGGUGGCCUGUGGAAGUCUGCGGUGAAAGCCCGGCGCUCAACGCCGGGUCGGCCGUGGAUACUCUCGGGCUCGAGCUUACUAGAGGCAGAUGGAAUUCCGGGUGUAGCGGUGGAAUGCGUAGAGAUCCGGAAGAACACCGGUGGCGAAGGCGGUCUGCUGGGGUAAUGCUGACACUGAUGCGUGACAGCGUGGGGAGCAAACAGG
rnacentral:rRNA from 1 species